GCGGCGCUUCUUCCGCGGCAUGGAAUUCGCCGCGCCCGUCGGCGAUCCGGGCUGGUUCGGUCCCGACAGCGCCGUG
rnacentral:tRNA from 3 species